rnacentral:rRNA from 1 species
ACUCAAAUGAAUUGACGGGGAGGCGCACAAGCAGUGGAGCAUGUGGUUUAAUUUGAUACGAAGCAAAAAACCUCACCUGGGUUUGACAUGUAGAUGCUAAUCCUGUGAAAGCAGGACUCCUUCGAGGGUUCUACACAGAUGCUGCAUGGCUGUCGUCAGUUCGUGGCGUGAGCUGUACCGUUAAGUCGGGAAACGAACGCAACCCGCACCGUAUGUUAAAUAAUUCAUGCGGAACUGCCUCGUAAGAGGAGGAAGGCGCGGAUGAUGUCAAGUCAGCACGGCUCUUACACCCAGGGCUACACACAUCCUACAAUGGCGAAUAACAACGAGCAGCAAGCGGGCAACCGCAAGCAAAUCUCUUAAAUUUCGCCUCAGUUCAGAUUGGGGUCUGCAAUUCGACCCCAUGAAGUCGGAAUUGCUAGUAAUCGCAAAUCAGCAGGUUGCGGUGAAUACGUUCUCGCCUCUUGCACACACCGCCCGU